GUGUUACUUCUUUCGUCCGGAAAUACUUGUCAUCAAAAUGGAUAAAAAAUAUAUCUAGACAUAUUUUAGUUUUAUUUAGAUUUUUUUAUUCAUUUUGAUGAUAAAUAUUUUGGGACGGAGGGAGUACAUG
rnacentral:pre_miRNA from 1 species